rnacentral:rRNA from 1 species
GACGAACGCUGGCGGCGUGGAUUAGGCAUGCAAGUCGAACGGUAGGAUACCUUCGGGUAUCUGAGAGUGGCGAACGGGUGAGUAACACGUAGGUGAUCUACCCUCAAGAUUGGGGACAACCCAGGGAAACUUGGGCUAAUACCGGAUGAAAGCAGCAGUGAUGUUGUUUGAAAGGUGGCGUAAGCUGCCGUUUGGGGAUGAGCCUGCGCUCUAUUAGUUAGUUGGCGGGGUAAAGGCCCACCAAGGCGAUGAUAGAUAGGCGGCCUUAACGGGUGGUCGCCCACACUGGGAUUGAGAUACGGCCCAGACUCCUACGGGAGGCAGCAGUCGAGAAUAGUCUACAAUGGCCGAAAGGCUGAUAGUGCGACGCCGCGUGAACGAAGAAGCCCUUCGGGGUGUAAAGUUCUUUUAUAUGUGAGCAGUGCUUUCUAUGUGAACAGCAUGGGGAAGAGAUAUUAGCAUAUGAAUAAGCAACGGCUAACUCCGUGCCAGAC